GCGGCUUUAGCGUAGUGGUUAUCGUGCACCCUUAGGGAGUUCAGCUGUUCAGCAACUCAUGGGUGAGGUCCUCGGUUCGACUCCGGGAAGCCGCC
rnacentral:tRNA from 1 species